rnacentral:rRNA from 1 species
GACGAACGCUGGCGGCGUGCUUAACACAUGCAAGUCGAACGGAAAGGCCCUGCUUGCAGGGUACUCGAGUGGCGAACGGGUGAGUAACACGUGGGUGAUCUGCCCUGCACUUCGGGAUAAGCCUGGGAAACUGGGUCUAAUACCGGAUAGGAGCCAUUUUUAGUGUGAUGGUUGGAAAGUUUUUUCGGUGUAGGAUGAGCUCGCGGCCUAUCAGCUUGUUGGUGGGGUAAUGGCCUACCAAGGCGGCGACGGGUAGCCGGCCUGAGAGGGUGGACGGCCACAUUGGGACUGAGAUACGGCCCAGACUCCUACGGGAGGCAGCAGUGGGGAAUAUUGCACAAUGGGCGCAAGCCUGAUGCAGCGACGCCGCGUGGGGGAUGACGGCCUUCGGGUUGUAAACUCCUUUCGCUAGGGACGAAGCUUUAUGUGACGGUACCUAGAUAAGAAGCACCGGCUAACUACGUG